rnacentral:tRNA from 1 species
GGUGUUGUGGACGAGUGGAUAAGUCACCGGACUGUGGAUCGCAAGGUCCGUGGUUCAAGUCCCGCAGCACUA